rnacentral:rRNA from 1 species
CUUGUGCCAGCAGCCGCGGUAAUACAGAGGGUGCAAGCGUUAAUCGGAAUUACUGGGCGUAAAGCGCGCGUAGGUGGUUCGUUAAGUUGGAUGUGAAAUCCCCGGGCUCAACCUGGGGACUGCAUUCAAAACUGACGAGCUAGAGUAUGGUAGAGGGUGGUGGAAUUUCCUGUGUAGCGGUGAAAUGCGUAGAUAUAGGAAGGAACACCAGUGGCGAAGGCGACCACCUGGACUGAUACUGACACUGAGGUGCGAAAGCGUGGGGAGCAAACAGGAUUAGAUACC